AACGCACAUUGCGCCCCUUGGUAUUCCAUGGGGCAUGCCUGUUCGAGCGUCAUUUGUACCUUCAAGCUCUGCUUGGUGUUGGGUGUUUGUCUCGCCUUGCGCGCAGACUCGCCUUAAAGCAAUUGGCAGCCGGCAUAUUGGCCUGGAGCGCAGCACAUUUUGCGUCCCGGGCCAUGAUUGUUGGCGUCCAUCAAGACCACUUUUUGCUCUUGACCUCGGAUCAGGUAGGGAUACCCGCUGAACUUAA
rnacentral:misc_RNA from 1 species